GAUGAACGCUGGCGGCGUGCUUAACACAUGCAAGUCGAACGGUGAGGGCGGAGCUUGCUCUGCUGGAUCAGUGGCGAACGGGUGAGUAACACGUGAGCAAUCUGCCCCUGACUCUGGGAUAAGCGCUGGAAACGGCGUCUAAUACUGGAUACGAGCUGCGAAGGCAUCUUCAGCAGCUGGAAAGAAUUUCGGUCAGGGAUGAGCUCGCGGCCUAUCAGCUUGUUGGUGAGGUAAUGGCUCACCAAGGCGUCGACGGGUAGCCGGCCUGAGAGGGUGACCGGCCACACUGGGACUGAGACACGGCCCAGACUCCUACGGGAGGCAGCAGUGGGGAAUAUUGCACAAUGGGCGAAAGCCUGAUGCAGCAACGCCGCGUGAGGGACGACGGCCUUCGGGUUGUAAACCUCUUUUAGCAGGGAAGAAGCGAAAGUGACGGUACCUGCAGAAAAAGCGCCGGCUAACUACGUG
rnacentral:rRNA from 1 species